rnacentral:rRNA from 1 species
AAAUUGAAGAGUUUGAUCAUGGCUCAGAUUGAACGCUGGCGGCAGGCCUAACACAUGCAAGUCGAACGGUAACAGGAAACAGCUUGCUGUUUCGCUGACGAGUGGCGGACGGGUGAGUAAUGUCUGGGAAACUGCCUGAUGGAGGGGAUAACUACUGGAAACGGUAGCUAAUACCGCAUAACGUCGCAAGACCAAAGAGGGGGACCUUCGGGCCUCUUGCCAUCGGAUGUGCCCAGAUGGGAUUAGCUUGUUGGUGGGGUAACGGCUCACCAAGGCGACGAUCCCUAGCUGGUCUGAGAGGAUGACCAGCCACACUGGAACUGAGACACGGUCCAGACUCCUACGGGAGGCAGCAGUGGGGAAUAUUGCACAAUGGGCGCAAGCCUGAUGCAGCCAUGCCGCGUGUAUGAAGAAGGCCUUCGGGUUGUAAAGUACUUUCAGCGGGGAGGAAGGGAGUAAAGUUAAUACCUUUGCUCAUUGACGUUACCCGCAGAAGAAGCACCGGCUAACUCCGUGCCAGCAGCCGCGGUAAUACGGAGGGUGCAAGCGUUAAUCGGAAUUACUGGGCGUAAAGCGCACGCAGGCGGUUUGUUAAGUCAGAUGUGAAAUCCCCGGGCUCAACCUGGGAACUGCAUCUGAUACUGGCAAGCUUGAGUCUCGUAGAGGGGGGUAGAAUUCCAGGUGUAGCGGUGAAAUGCGUAGAGAUCUGGAGGAAUACCGGUGGCGAAGGCGGCCCCCUGGACGAAGACUGACGCUCAGGUGCGAAAGCGUGGGGAGCAAACAGGAUUAGAUACCCUGGUAGUCCACGCCGUAAACGAUGUCGACUUGGAGGUUGUGCCCUUGAGGCGUGGCUUCCGGAGCUAACGCGUUAAGUCGACCGCCUGGGGAGUACGGCCGCAAGGUUAAAACUCAAAUGAAUUGACGGGGGCCCGCACAAGCGGUGGAGCAUGUGGUUUAAUUCGAUGCAACGCGAAGAACCUUACCUGGUCUUGACAUCCACAGAACUUUCCAGAGAUGGAUUGGUGCCUUCGGGAACUGUGAGACAGGUGCUGCAUGGCUGUCGUCAGCUCGUGUUGUGAAAUGUUGGGUUAAGUCCCGCAACGAGCGCAACCCUUAUCCUUUGUUGCCAGCGGUCCGGCCGGGAACUCAAAGGAGACUGCCAGUGAUAAACUGGAGGAAGGUGGGGAUGACGUCAAGUCAUCAUGGCCCUUACGACCAGGGCUACACACGUGCUACAAUGGCGCAUACAAAGAGAAGCGACCUCGCGAGAGCAAGCGGACCUCAUAAAGUGCGUCGUAGUCCGGAUUGGAGUCUGCAACUCGACUCCAUGAAGUCGGAAUCGCUAGUAAUCGUGGAUCAGAAUGCCACGGUGAAUACGUUCCCGGGCCUUGUACACACCGCCCGUCACACCAUGGGAGUGGGUUGCAAAAGAAGUAGGUAGCUUAACCUUCGGGAGGGCGCUUACCACUUUGUGAUUCAUGACUGGGGUGAAGUCGUAACAAGGUAACCGUAGGGGAACCUGCGGUUGGAUCACCUCCUUA